rnacentral:rRNA from 1 species
UACGUAGGGCGCAAGCGUUGUCCGGAAUUAUUGGGCGUAAAGAGCUCGUAGGCGGUUUGUCGCGUCUGCUGUGAAAACUCGAGGCUCAACCUCGGGCUUGCAGUGGGUACGGGCAGACUAGAGUGUGGUAGGGGAGACUGGAAUUCCUGGUGUAGCGGUGAAAUGCGCAGAUAUCAGGAGGAACACCGAUGGCGAAGGCAGGUCUCUGGGCCACUACUGACGCUGGAGAACGCGAAAGCGUGGGGAGCGAACAGG